CGGGCGGGGCCUUUCUGGCUGGUGUGUUUAUUUCCUUUCCUUCGCAGGCGGUUUGAGUUCGCUUGCUAGGGGGAAAAGGAGUUGGUGAUUCCAGGUGAUGACCCAGCUUCACCGGCUUUCCAGCCGAUGCUGGAUGAGAAUGUUACCCCCAUGAACGGAAUGCUCCUCUACCCGUCCAUUUUUGAAGGUCUUGCCCCAGGUGCUCCGCUCAGGGAUGGACAGCAACUGCCCCGCCAUUUGAGGAGUCCAGGCAGGAGAGGGCCACACGCCCCUGCCUCCGGGAGAGACCUCUCCUCUGGACUCUGACUUCUCAGAAACCACUUGUAAGCCUUUGAAGAGCAGGAUCGGCGUCCGGUUAUCAGUGCAGCAGUGAUCAGGACAACAGCCCUCACCUUAAC